rnacentral:rRNA from 1 species
GACGAACGCUGGCGGCGUGCUUAACACAUGCAAGUCGAACGGAAAGGCCCUGCUUGUGUGGGGUGCUCGAGUGGCGAACGGGUGAGUAACACGUGAGUAACCUGCCCUGGACUUUGGGAUAACUUCAGGAAACUGGGGCUAAUACCGGAUAGGAGCUCCUGCUGCAUGGUGGGGGUUGGAAAGUUUCGGCGGUUGGGGAUGGACUCGCGGCUUAUCAGCUUGGUGGUGGGGUAGUGGCUUACCAAGGCUUUGACGGGUAGCCGGCCUGAGAGGGUGACCGGCCACAUUGGGACUGAGAUACGGCCCAGACUCCUACGGGAGGCAGCAGUGGGGAAUAUUGCACAAUGGGCGGAAGCCUGAUGCAGCAACGCCGCGUGCGGGAUGACGGCCUUCGGGCUGUAAACCGCUUUCGCCUGUGACGAAGCGUGAGUGACGGUAAUGGGUAAAGAAGCACCGGCUAACUACGUG